GGAGACUUUGGCACCCCGGGUUCAGAUAGGAAACUGAAAGAAAGGUGCCAAGACAGACUGAUGCAGAUUGACUACGCUUUACUGGCUCUUAGCAGCACUUGUCAAAAGGCAUCUUAGUUAUUGUUAGUUGAGCAAUCUCGCCCUAGGAAAGAAAAAGCUGUCGGAAGCUUCCUUGUUUAACACAAGAAUCUGUAGCUCCAAGGAGGCAGCAUGAAAGCAACCUAUUAAACACAAAUGAGCAACACAGGUCAGGCAUAGACCCACCCAGAUCUGCUUAAAGAUGGAUAGUCCCUGAGGCAUCGGCUGAAGUUUGUCUGCAGCAUGGACAUAGCUAUCCUUCCCCUGUCAAGUGCCCAUGGCCUGGAUGCCCAAAGAUAGGUGUCUGAGGCAAGAGCCAAGAUGUGCGCAAUGGCACUUUUUCAGCUGGGCAGAACUAUGAUUACCGGCCCCAGUGAUGGCUUUACUUCUGGAGUGAACAUCAACACGCUACAGAGAGUUGAAGCCCACGUGCAGAUUACUAUGUGCCUAUAGACAGAGUCUAAUGAGGAAGAGAGAGUCACAUAGCUCUGAUUCCCAAAUACCUAUUGACUGUGUUUCCUGUGAA
rnacentral:lncRNA from 1 species